rnacentral:rRNA from 1 species
UACGUAGGGUGCAAGCGUUAUCCGGAUUUACUGGGUGUAAAGGGCGAGUAGACGGCGAUGCAAGUCAGAUGUGAAAUGCUAGGGCUUAACCUUAGAACUGCAUCUGAAACUGUAUUGCUAGAGUGCAGGAGAGGUAAGCGGAAUUCCUAGUGUAGCGGUGAAAUGCGUAGAUAUUAGGAGGAACAUCAGUGGCGAAGGCGGCUUACUGGACUGUAACUGACGUUGAGGCGCGAAAGCGUGGGGAGCAAACAGG